rnacentral:rRNA from 1 species
CAGUAGCCGCGGGAAUACGUAGGGUGCGAGCGUUAAUCGGAAUUACUGGGCGUAAAGCGUGCGCAGGCGGUUGUGCAAGACAGGUGUGAAAUCCCCGGGCUUAACCUGGGAACUGCAUUUGAAACUGGCAAGCUAGAGUCUUGUAGAGGGGGGUAGAAUUCCAGGUGUAGCGGUGAAAUGCGUAGAGAUCUGGAGGAAUACCGGUGGCGAAGGCGGCCCCCUGGACGAAGACUGACGCUCAGGUGCGAAAGCGUGGGGAGCAAACAGGAUUAGAUACCCGCGUAGUCCCUGUCUCUUAUAC